GGCACAAUCAUACAUCUCUGACAAUUAUGCUACAUUUCGAUUAAUAACUGGCAUAAAGUGACUAGCUAGCAACAGCGACAGGGAAAUGUGGUCCCCGCCCUCUAGACCACCGCCUGUUAGGUCGGUGCCAUUGUAGCCUCAGUUGUGGCUCAACUAUCGCAGUGUGAAGGCGAGUGGAUACGCUUUUUAUAUACAGACGGUGUCACGCAUCCUGAAAGCUCACUGGCCCAAGCCCCAACUCUCCCCUCGUCUUCUGACUUCUUGUGGCCUCCGAAAUCCAUCACAACUUCCAGCGACCAAGUCGGAAACAAUCCCGAAACCGCCACUUUUCAAUGUCCAUGGUGAAAUUUCCUUACAGUCAAUGAAGUGUCCUCCACAUGAACACGAGGCCUCAAUUUGUGUCGCGGCACCAGAACCUUCGUGGUUUAACUUCACUACGUGUCGCUCCCGACACAUUCAUCGCAUUCAUUCCCGUCUCGCCUCCCAAUCUGUCUACUCCGCAACCAUCAUCCGCCGCCCACAACCAACCAAAACAUCAAAUACCACCCUCAACUACCCACUACUGCUUACAAUUCCCCAAACAGGAAAUUACUUCACCGUCAUCUGACAGGGUGAAAGUCUUGCACAUCCCGUUCAGCUCAGGCUUUCUUAUACCACUUCCUGGUCUCGAAGUACACCGCCCACGCUUUCACACGCGAAACAAAUUGGUGUGUUGACGUGCCACGGACCGAAAGUGAUCCCUGAGGAAAGCAAUACAGCUGUAUACUUAACAUGUAUUAUUGAUAUGACAACCCACCACAUGUACACGCUUCAUAGAUUAUGAAGAGAACUCUUGAUUCACAUAAUAGUACCACCGAAGGUGUCGAAGAUUAUAUCCCAAGUUGAUUAUUAUUUCUCACAUCGGUACGGCGGUAUCUUCUCAAACAAGGGUACCAUCUCAACCAUAGUACUUUCACUCCCUUCGGAUUGUCCGUGUAUUUGCCGUGCAAGAUGCGUGAGCUGGUGUUAAUGAUGGUCGUAUCGCUACUGGUUGCUGGGACGGAUGCCACCUGUGGCUUCUGCAAUGAGCGACUGAAAGUUUCUUUGUUCUGCUGCCUGUUCGAGGGCCGCUGCUGUGUCCUAGGUCCCGUAGCUGUGGGUAAGCGUGACGUGUCUUGGGCGCUGAACCAGCUUGGCCCAUCAAAGCUGCCUCGUGUUGUCCACUCACAUGCUAACCCACGAUGAACAACCCCCCCCCCCCUCCCCUCGGCUGCUAUCCACGCUCAUAAUUUACCUACCCAAUUUAUCUAACAGCCACCACAAUUAGAUUUGGCCAUUGACUGGGGUUAGGAGGCCGAUGGCCUGUAUGACAGGGGCUACCAAACAGGGAGGUACUACUGCCUGGGAAGAUAUUGGAAGCAUAAUGUAUUGUCUAAUGGUAGACCCUGA